rnacentral:tRNA from 1 species
AGCUCCGUAGCCCAACCUGGCAGAGGCACACGGCCCAAACCCGUGUCUGUGUCGGUUCGAAUCCGACCGGAGCUACCA